ensembl:lncRNA
GCUUGAGAUAACACCGUUACUUUAGCUAGAUCAACAUGAUUGAUAUCAUUGCAGCAUUUCACCGUGUCAUUGUAGUCUCUGGUUUUCAAAGUGUUGAUGUUCAAGAAGAAUUGCAAUCAGACUCCGUUCCCUAUACCCCAGGAAGAUUGUAUCUGUGAAAAAGCUGGAGUUCUUUCAAACAAAGGACCCACACAUAUCCAAAUUAUCACGUGAUCACUAAAGUGACCCUUUUUGGGGGUGCUCACAAUGUGCUGAGCAUAAAGGAAAUCAGGUUAUUUCCUUCCCGCCGCCCCAUGAUGGGGAUGCUACUGGAAAAAGUGUAAGAGGUCAAAGAGCACAUCUGAACUGUCUUUAAUGCAGAGUUCUUACCGCAAGGCCGAGCACGCUGGCACUCCACGGCUCCACUGACUGACUGACCACCUACAACUGUUUGACUGAGGUUGCCAAGCAGGCUUGGCACACACGUCCUCAAUUAACAGAUUGGAUAGUUGCUAAUUAUCUGGAUGAAGGAUUUGGCUCCCUCAGCUCGCCUUUUCCUGCAAACAGGAAGGAAAAGAUUCCACCAGAGUGUUCUGAAUUAUUGGAAUUUGUCCCCUGUGGCCCACCGUGAUGUCACACUGACAUUUUCUUGCAAGUAGUUUUUG